UAUCUCUGUAGAGUCUGCAUAUCAAUAAGCGGAGGAAAAGAAACUAACAAGGAUUCCCUUAGUAACGGCGAGUGAAGCGGGAAGAGCUCAAAUUUGAAAUCUUCAAGGUUCUACCUUGACGAAUUGUAGUUUAAAGAAGUGUUUUCUGUUAGAUGAGUAGCAAAAGUUCCUUGGAAUGGGACAUCAUAGAGGGUGAGAAUCCCGUAUUUGGUUAUUCAUUCUAGCUUUGUGAUACACUUUCAAAGAGUCGGAUUGUUUGGGAAUGCAGUCCAAAAUGGGUGGUAAAUUUCAUCUAAAGCUAAAUAUUGGCGAGAGACCGAUAGCGGAACAAGUACCGUGAGGGAAAGAUGAAAAGAACUUUGAAAAGAGAGUUAAACAGUACGUGAAAUUGUCAAAAGGGAAGCGUUUGACACCAGUGUUGUUUUUCCGAAAAUCAAUUACGAAUGGCUUGAUUUUGUGUUGUAUUGACCUUAUCAGCUUUCUUCACUUUUUUCGAGUCUUUCUUAAUGCACUUUUUCGGUUAACAAGUCAACAUCAAUUUCUUUUGUUGUAAAAGAGUAUUCGGAAGGUGGCUUUCUUUUCGGAGAAAGUGUUUAUAGCCCUAUACUUCUACAAUCGGAGAGAUUGAGGUCUGCAGCGUAGAUCCUUCGGGGUUAGAUACACUUGUGCUAAGUUGUAGCUUUUCAUAGACAACUUGUUGACUAUGUUUAGUCAUGCGGCUUACUCGCUUGUGCUAUUUUACCUACGCUUAGGAUGUUGACUGAUAUGUAGUCGUA
rnacentral:rRNA from 1 species